GACGAACGCUGGCGGCGUGCCUAAUACAUGCAAGUCGAACGCUGAAGAGAGGAGCUUGCUCUUCUUGGAUGAGUUGCGAACGGGUGAGUAACGCGUAGGUAACCUGCCUUGUAGCGGGGGAUAACUAUUGGAAACGAUAGCUAAUACCGCAUAACAAUGGAUGACACAUGUCAUUUAUUUGAAAGGGGCAAUUGCUCCACUACAAGAUGGACCUGCGUUGUAUUAGCUAGUAGGUGAGGUAAUGGCUCACCUAGGCGACGAUACAUAGCCGACCUGAGAGGGUGAUCGGCCACACUGGGACUGAGACACGGCCCAGACUCCUACGGGAGGCAGCAGUAGGGAAUCUUCGGCAAUGGGGGCAGCCCUGACCGAGCAACGCCGCGUGAGUGAAGAAGGUUUUCGGAUCGUAAAGCUCUGUUGUAAGUCAAGAACGGGUGUGAGAGUGGAAAGUUCACACUGUGACGGUAGCUUACCAGAAAGGGACGGCUAACUACGUG
rnacentral:rRNA from 1 species